GGGUUGUGAGGUUAAGCGACUAAGCGUACACGGUGGAUGCCCUGGCAGUCAGAGGCGAUGAAGGACGUGCUAAUCUGCGAUAAGCGUCGGUAAGGUGAUAUGAACCGUUAUAACCGGCGAUUUCCGAAUGGGGAAACCCAGUGUGAUUCGUCACACUAUCAUUAACUGAAUCCAUAGGUUAAUGAGGCGAACCGGGGGAACUGAAACAUCUAAGUACCCCGAGGAAAAGAAAUCAACCGAGAUUCCCCCAGUAGCGGCGAGCGAACGGGGAGCAGCCCAGAGCCUGAAUCAGUGUGUGUGUUAGUGGAAGCGUCUGGAAAGGCGCGCGAUACAGGGUGACAGCCCCGUACACAAAAAUGCACAUGCUGUGAGCUCGAUGAGUAGGGCGGGACACGUGGUAUCCUGUCUGAAUAUGGGGGGACCAU
rnacentral:rRNA from 1 species